rnacentral:lncRNA from 1 species
UCAGCACGAGUCGAAUCUCUUGAUGGGGCUAGAUCCGUUGGAAAGGUCUUGUAAUUACCUUUCCAACAAGUACUUGUUUGCUUGAUUUGGACUCCGGAUGCGGCCUGGGUGAUUAAAACAAAUUCGGGUCUCCUGAUAGCUCGGACCCGAAUCGGAUUCAACUUUAAUUCGUGAUAUCUUUCUCUAGCAAGCUCCGAAUCACGUGCCGUUUGAUUUGUUGGAAAGUAGACUUGAUAGGCUUCCCUUUGAAUCUCCCUUUGCAGGCUAUCACACUUCAUCUUCACUUUGGACUUGUAAAGUUCAAUAAGAUGUCUACAUAAUAAGAUUACACAAGAUAGUAGCUCCGCCUCUUUGCAAGUAACAUAUUGGAAACAUUUUGUAAUUGAAUUCUCCUGAUUAUAAUUGUUAUUAGAUACACCAAUAAUUAGGGUUCUAAUGGUCGUAUCCAUGGUUAGCAUGUCCAUAUCAUCCUCCCUUUCUUGAAAGGAAAGCCGUCUUCGGCGUCGUUUAUGCUGAAAAUAUGCUAACAAAAGAGACAAGGUAUGCGCAUGGUAUAUGUAUAUAUCGUUAUUUUUAACUCCACUCCCAUGUUGCACAAUUAAUGUUUUAUAACACAAUCUCAUGAGAUAAUUAGUCACACAAUCAUCAUGAAUAUCAUUCCAGCAAGAAGAUUGACAAUAUGUUUUGCAUAUAUAAGUGAAACAAUAUCUUGUAUUUGGUUUGCACCGCUCACCAUUAUACCAUCCCAAGACUGGAAAAUAAUAAUUAAUAAUGUUACCCAAAUUAGUUACUACAAGAUGCUGAAAUUUAGAGCAUGUCAAAACACUAAUAUUCGAACAAUCGUGUAAAGAACUAAUUGGCAAAUAAUCAACACCAAUAUUGGAGGUUAUAUCAAAAUGGUUAAGCAUAUGCAACAUAUUAUUUUCUCUCAAAUCAAGAAAGUUAUCACAAGCAAUGCAACUCUGAUGCACCCAAAAUUUAUUGUUCACGUCAUGUUCUCCAAUUAAUUGAAUAGUGUAUUCAUGGGCAUUAGCAAAAGAUUUUGAAAUUGUUAACUCAGAACUUUUAUCCAUUGCAUGUGACAAAUAUAUAGGUGCAUCAAGUUUAAUAGAACACAAAGAAUUAUUAGGCGGAAUCAUAGGAAACACUUCUUCAUGUUUAAUUAAUUCAAUGCAACAUAAAUCAAAUUUAAUUAUCGCGUCACAAGUCUGUUCCAAAACAGCAGGUAACUCAUCACAUAAAUCAUUAUCAUUUGAAUCAAUGGGCGUGCUCAAAUCGGCAAGUAAAUCAACAGUUUUACAAGGGGUAGCAUGUUCAUCAGAUAUCUCAUUUAUUUCAACACACGUCAUAUUUAGUUCAGCAACACAAACCUCUGUAACAUUACCUUGUGGGCUCGCCUCAUUUGUAUUAUACCUUCUUUCUAACUUCCUCUCAGCUUCACAAGCAAGAUUAAGCAAACACAAUAGAGAGUCGUAAUCCCCAUAUUCAAUCACGUAAGAAAUUUCAAAAUUAAGCCCAUAAUAAAACCUAUCCAUUUUUCUUUGUUCGGUUUCAUCUAAACCAGAUCGCAAGGUUAAAAUUUGGAACUCAUUGUAGUAAUCAUCAACAGUUUUAUCAUCUUGUGUCAAACGUCGUAAUUUUGAACGCAAGUUAAAAGCAUAACUAAAAAGGACAUAUUUUUCUCUCAUGAUUUUCUUCAUAUCAACCCAAGUGUGGGGAAUUUUCUUUUCUCUAACUAUCUCAUUCCACCAAGAUAAAGCAUCAAAACGAAAUUUACUACUAGCAAUUUGGACCUUACGACUAUCUAGUACAUGGAAGCAUGUGAAUUGCUCAAUUAGAGCUAUUUCCCAAUCAAUAUAAGCUUCAGCAUCGUUAUUUCCAUCAAAGAAAGGUCCAAAACAAUUAUUGACAUUACAAGGAUUGCGAUAUACCUUUGCCUUGCCAAUGUCAACAAGAGACGAGGAGGAUGGAUGUGGUGAAAAACGCUCAUGUCGUUCACUUGAUAGCAUAGGCCUAUUUUCCAUUCUUCGUGUAAGUCCUGUCAUGGUUCUAGGACAAGGUAACUAAUUCUAAUUUUUGUUUGGCUUUUUCUGGACGAUAGGUAAAAACAGAUCUAAACUAAGGAUAAACUGGAAAAAUCUCACCGAGCAACCUUAAGCUCUGAUACCACGUGAUACGGGUCGGGGUGGCCCGAUCAAACCAAUGUCUCAACGAGACGAUAAGUUGGAGUCUUGACGACGGUAAAACAGGUGGUCUAACCGACACACAUGAUUACACGAAAGUAGCAAAGAUGGCUAAACUUUAUCUAAUCAAAACCCAAGGCUCCUUAGGGGGGCUCAUGGGCUAUAUAAAGGAGGAGGGAGAGAUAUUUUCGUCCACCUUGAGUAAGGAGGCCGAAAUCCAACUCUAUCUCUAACUUUCCUAACAAACUACAACUCUUUAGGAAACAGAAAAACAGAUCCGUCAGCUUGUUUUGUCCGCCACAAUCAGCACGAGUCGAAUCUCUUGAUGGGGCCAGAUCCGUUGGAAAGGUCUUGUAAUUACCUUUCCAACAAGUACUUGUUUGCUUGAUUUGGACUCCGGAUGCUGCCUGGGUGAUUAAAACAAAUUCGGGUCUCCUGAUAGCUAGGACCCGAAUCGGAUUCAACUUUAAUUCGUGAUAUCUUUCUCUAGCAAGCUCCGAAUCAUGUGCCGUUUGAUUUGUUGGAAAGUAGACUUGAUAGGCUUCACUUUGAAUCUCCCUUUGCAGGCUAUCACACUUCAU